AUAGCGCCCACAAGAAUAUUCUAAAGUGACAAACGAUAAGCCACGCCGACUGACAAGUUCUGAUCUUAGCACCCCUCCUCGGACUAUACAUCGGUAACCCGAAGACGAUUACGAGAGAGAGGAUAUCGGAUCUUUUCCCUCCACCGGAUCAAGCAAGCAUCGACUCACGUCGUGCAUCAUAGACCAGAAGAUGACGAGACGCUAGGUUGUUCAGCAGCGAGUAUACAGUAGAUCUCAAGAGUGUCCGAGUCAUGGGCGUAAAGGGUUACGUAGAAGGAAGAUGGUAGUCAGUGUGAAAUCAUCGAAGAUCAUCUAUGAUAUUACACUGGACACUGCGUAGGUAGAGUACUUGGAGACGGAGAUUGGAAUCUACGGUGUAGCAGCCAAAUGCGUAGAUAUGGUAAGGAAGCCCAGUGGUGAAGGCGAAUAUCUGGACAGUUUUUGACAUUGAGGCUUGAAGCCCAGGGGAGCAAACGGGAUUAGAUACCCCGGUAGUCCUGGCAGUAAACGGUGCGCGUAUGGUGUGGGAGGAUUCGACCCCUUCUGUGCCGGAGCUAACGCGUUAAACGCGCCGCCUGGGGAGUACGGUCGCAAGAUUAAAACUCAAAGAAAUUGACGGGGGCCCGCACAAGCGGUGGAGUAUGUGGCUUAAUUCGAUGCAACGCGAAGAACCUUACCUAGCCUUGACAUGCAUCUCUAAGUCGGUGAAAGCCGGCGAGUGUAGCAAUACACAAUUUGCACAGGUGCUGCAUGGCUGUCGUCAGCUCGUGUCGUGAGAUGUUGGGUUAAGUCCCGCAACGAGCGCAACCCCUGUGAACUGUUGCCACCGGCCUUCGGGCCGAGCACUCUGUUCAGACUGCCCUGUGAAACGGGGAGGAAGGUGGGGAUGACGUCAAGUCAGCAUGGCCCUUACGGCUAGGGCUGCACACGUACUACAAUGCUCAGUACAGAAUGAACCGAAACCGCGAGGUGGAGGAAAUCCCAAAAACUGAGCCCAAUUCGGAUUGGAGGCUGCAACUCGCCUCCAUGAAGCCGGAAUCGCUAGUAAUGGCGUAUCAGCUACGACGCCGUGAAUACGUUCCCGGGCCUUGUACACACCGCCCGUCACAUCAUGGAAGUCACUUGUACCCGAAGUGCAUGCGCCAACCGCAAGGAGGCAGUGCCCUAAGGUAUGCGAAAGUU
rnacentral:rRNA from 1 species